GCCAGCAUGGUCUGGGGGUUUGAUGUUGGACUAGGACUCCAGGGGACUAGGGUUCGAAUCCCUAUUUAGCCA